CAGUCGCCGCGGUAAUACGAAGGGGGCUAGCGUUGCUCGGAAUGACUGGGCGUAAAGGGCGCGUAGGCGGCGAUCAAAGUCAGGCGUGAAAUUCCUGGGCUCAACCUGGGGGCUGCGCUUGAUACUUGGUUGCUUGAGUGGGGAAGAGGGUCGUGGAAUUCCCAGUGUAGAGGUGAAAUUCGUAGAUAUUGGGAAGAACACCGGUGGCGAAGGCGGCGACCUGGUCCUUGACUGACGCUGAGGCGCGAAAGCGUGGGGAGCAAACAGGAUUAGAUACCCGUGUAGUCCCUGUCUCUUAUAC
rnacentral:rRNA from 1 species